ensembl:lncRNA
CUCUCUCUCUCUCAGCUCAGUCUCUGUUUCUCUGUCUGAAACAGGUGGGUGUUACCCCAGCUAAAAAAGAGCACUCUCUCUCUCAGCUCAGUCUCUGUUUCUCUGUCUGAAACAGGUGGGUGUUACCCCAGCUAAAAAAGAGCUCUCUCUCUCUCUCAGCUCAAUCUCUGUUUCUCUGUCUGAAACAGGUGGGUGUUACCCCAGCUAAAAGAGAGCAAGCAGAGAAAAAGCCAGACCAGUCCAAGACAUCUGCACCGGUCAAAGCCCCAAUAAAGGCCCCUAAAACACAAGCGAAGACUAUCAAGACAGUGUCAGUGACGGCCCCGGGAAACAAGGCGUUGCCGGGAAACAAGGCGUUGCCGGGAAACAGAAAAACAUCUGCCGACGGCCAACAGAGGACCGAUACGCCGGCCAACACAAGAGCUGAGAAAAGGAAAAAGAUCGGAAUGUAUUCUUCCCAGGACGAGUCUGUCCAAGGGCAGAAGACAGCCCCGGCCAGUUCAGCUGUAAUCCCACCAGCCAGCAAGAAGACGAGAUUGACGGAGGAGAAAAGCUCGUCCACUCCAAAGAGCGAGAAGACCACAGAAGAGAGAAAGAAACAGGACGAGAGAAGAGGGAGGAAGAGGAAAAAGGAUGAUGAGGGAGAGAAGAUGAAGGAAGUUGGUGUUGAAGAGGGAAAGAUUGAAGUCAGUAAGAUGAGGAAGAUGGAAAGUUUAGAAACAGACAAACAAGUAAUCCAC